UAAAUAUGCACAAACGUAGGCAGCUAAGAGCUUUCCCACAAGAAUUAUUUGCUCCAAAGCAAUAACCUCUGGUUUCAUUAAACCUUUUAUUCAACCUCUUGUUGUGUGUUAAUUUGUCCUUUAAGCAUGCUGACGAGAAUAAUCGGAAAAAAUAGGAUCGCUUUUGUACAAUCAUGGUCUAAAACAGGAGCAACUUUUGGUGCUGCUGGUGGCCUAGGCUUUUUAUAUUUUACUGAUUGGAAAGCUGUUCUUAAAUAUUUACCAGUUUAUAACACUAAGUUUCAGAAUAGUGAAAAAUAAUCGAGGAUAAUUUAGUGAAAAUUAAUGUUCAAGCCGAUAUAGAUAAACAAAUUAAAAUCUUUGUUGUAUGUCUGUAACAAUUUAAGUGAUGUCAAUAAAGAAAAUUUUGAUUUCUUGA